CUUCUAAAUAAAAUAUUACCAAAUCGAAUUCAUUAACAUAAUAAGAUAUAUUAUAGGGUUUAUCUCAGGAAGGCAAAGAUGGUUUAACUUUUACAAAUACAUUUUCGUAAUUAAUCAUAUUGGCUAAUUAAAGGGGGAAAAGCAUACAGGCACUUCAAUAAACGAAGAAAAAAAUGUAAAAAAUUUAUGACAAUUUUUUUAGUCAACCUAGUAGAUGAGAAUUUCCUUAACCUGAUAAAGAGAAUUUCACCCAAAAAACCCCAAUAGUAGAUGUUAGCAAAAAUGGCAGAGUAAGGACCUCUAAAAAUUCUCUUAUCCAUAAAAGCAAUGAGAAAACUGGGGAAAAACCAUCAGGAUCACCUUUUUCAGAAUUCUGGAAAUUAACCAAAGGCUUACAGCAAUUCAGGGAGUGUUUAUUUAAGAAAAAUGGCUGAAUCCCAGUAAGAACAGUGAGCUUUGUGGCAUUUUAACUUGCCUUAUUCCCAUCUCACUCUCUCCAGCCUUUCUCUUGCCUUUAAAACCAACAUCCCACAAUCAUCAUAAAAGUCAACAGCCUGGCAGCCACUGGAGGGGCAGAAAGGGGUUAUAGUUCCUUCAAAACCUCAUCUCCAGAGAACUGUCAUUAUUUGGUCUAUCUGGUGGUUUCUUGAAAGACCCCACUUACAAGCCUGUCUUUAUUGGACCUAACUGGGAAAUCACACAAUGUGAAAGCCUUUCCCUCGGGGUGUUUAUCAAAAACAAUUAGAGGUAAUCAAUUAAUUUUACAGCUGUCUGAGGUGGUGAAUAACAGGUCUGUUUUUAUUAUUUUUCUGCUGAAUCAAUCAAGAAGAGAAGAAAGCUUCCAGGAGUAAGAAAUAGGUAGGGGUUACAGGUUGGUUGUGGCUCUGCAGGGCUCUGCGCCAUGAAUAUCUUUCCAUUCCAGUUUCCAGGCAACAGGGAGCAGCUCCUUUCUCUGCUGUGAUUCUCUGGCGGAAGGUCUGCGGACUCAGAACAAAGCCUACCCAUGGGUGUGACCUGAGCUUCAGAGGUUUUGCUCUCAAAGGAAGUGAGAUGAGUUGGGAAAUGCAAAUUUGGUGACUAAAUAGGACUUCCCUGGGUCUGAUGAUUUCCAAGAUGCCACUGAGAUAUAAUUCCAGUGAUGAUGUGGAGAGGGGAUGCCAGCCAUAGCUAACAGAAUGGUUGUAAUUAGUAUGUUCAUUCCACAAACACUCAUAACACCUACUGUAUAUUGGGCAUUGUUAGACUG
rnacentral:lncRNA from 1 species